rnacentral:rRNA from 1 species
AAAGAAAAUAACAAUGAUUCCCCUAGUAACGGCGAGCGAAGAGGGAAUAGCUCAAAUUUUAAAUCUGUUGGGUCUUACCUAACCGAGUUGUAAUUUGAAGAAGCGUUUUCUGCAUGUUUGAUUUAGCCCAAAUCCUUUGGGAUAAGGUAUCAUGGAGGGUGAGAACCCCGUCCGGCCUAAUCAAAUGUGCUUUUACGAUACGUUUUCUAAGAGUCGAGUUGUUUGGGAUUGCAGCUCAAAAUGGGAGGUAAAUUUCUCCUAAGGCUAAAUAUUGGCGAGAGACCGAUAGCGAACAAGUACCGUGAGGGAAAGAUGAAAAGAACUUUGAAAAGAGAGUUAAACAGUACGUGAAAUUGUUGAAAGGUAAACGAUUAAAGUCAGUCGUACUAACGGGGAAUCAACCUUUUGAGGGUGGAAUUGUGGGAUUCAAAGUGCCUUUGUUUUUCACAACCUGCUUUUUUUGGGUGUACUUUCUCGUAUUGUAGGUCAGCAUCGGUUUUGACCGUUAUAAAAUGACUGGAGGAAUGUAGCUUCGAUCUCGUAUUGAAGUGUUAUAGCCUUUGGUAGAUGUAACGGUUGGGAUCGAGGAUUGCAAUGAAUACCCUCAUGGGCUAUCUGCCUGGCCUCUGACAUGUCACUCUGGUGCCGAAAGCUUGCUUAUGGUAUUAUAGUGUACGGUCAAAAGGUUAGAACGGAUUAAAUU